AACGAACGCUGGCGGCAUGCCUAAUACAUGCAAGUCGAACGAGAUCUUCGGAUCUAGUGGCGCACGGGUGCGUAACGCGUGGGAAUCUGCCCUUGGGUUCGGAAUAACAGUUAGAAAUGACUGCUAAUACCGGAUGAUGACGAAAGUCCAAAGAUUUAUCGCCCAAGGAUGAGCCCGCGUAGGAUUAGCUAGUUGGUGAGGUAAAGGCUCACCAAGGCUACGAUCCUUAGCUGGUCUGAGAGGAUGAUCAGCCACACUGGGACUGAGACACGGCCCAGACUCCUACGGGAGGCAGCAGUAGGGAAUAUUGGACAAUGGGCGAAAGCCUGAUCCAGCAAUGCCGCGUGAGCGAUGAAGGCCUUAGGGUUGUAAAGCUCUUUUACCCGGGAUGAUAAUGACAGUACCGGGAGAAUAAGCCCCGGCUAACUCCGUGCCAGCCGCAGUAACAC
rnacentral:rRNA from 1 species